UAAUAAAGUUUUUUUUUAAUAAAUAAAAUUCAUGUUUUAAAAUCAAAUAAAUUCAAACCAAUCUUAUGCUAACAACACAAACAUAAAGAAAGAAACUAUCCAAAAAAAGAGACGGGCCUUGACGGCCUCUGAGGCCCCUUAGGACACAGAACAGCAAGGAAAAAGAGUGGGUCGAAACCCAGGAAGCCCAUGGGGAAAAAUCCGCUUUAGUCCAAUCCAAACCUAGAUUGGAUCCCAACAAAGUCUUUCCAACUUCUACAGGGAACAUCAUGAAGAAAGGAAAGAAACCUUUUCCAAAUCCAACAGUCAUGUGUAACAAAAAGGAAACCGAGGAAAAUGAUUAUUAAUGCAAUAUGGAGGACCAAACGCGGUGGUAGACCUCGAGCAGUGAGGAAAGAUUCCUCAUAAAUGAUCUUAAACCCACACAGAUUCCUCAUAAAUGAUCUUAAACCCACACUUAAAACCAAAAGACAACCACAAUUAGGAAACAGAUAAAACUAAAGCUUUCACCUCCGUCUAAAUCUCUCCCUCUCUCCUCGACAUGUUCGUCACCUUUCUUAUAGAAAAGCUCAAAGGAAACCAGAGUUCCACCUUAACACAAAACUGAUGGUGAUAAUAGGGAAGCAGAUCCACACUUAGCAAUGUAAACCAUAAACUAUCCUGAAGCCCUAUCAUAAAAUAAAACUCAUGCACAACACAAGAACCUCAAAGCGAAGUACCAGAACAAGUCAUUAAUGCAGAUACAAAUCGACUCAAGAAUGAGACCAGUCGCGCCUACAUUCGAUGGUGUCAAAAUAAAACCAGAGUAAAGGAACAGAGGAUUAAGGAUCUACCAUGUUGAGAUGCUUUGGCGGUAAAUGAACAGGUAAGCUUUUUCUUCGAACUUCCUCCUUCUAUCUUCUGAAUUGAUCCUCUUUUGUGAAGUUUUGAAUUGAUUCCUACAGUGUAGCGGUGUGCUUUCCCCUUGGGAUUUCGGCCUACUCCAGAUCCCGACGAUCCUUUACGCAGAUCUCUACACGAUUCAUGGUAAACGCUGACACUCCCUUGCGAUUCGCCUUUCUUUUAGCUUGAAUCUUCUUCUGAUUUCGGUGUUUGAUGAUGGCUCAGGUCGCGGGUGCUCACCGAGGGGUUCAGUCCGACUACCUCAGAGUUUCGGCGAGAAACUCUGAAUAGUUUUUUGUGAUUUGGACUUUGAGGAAUUCAGGUCUUAGGUCAUGGCUUAGGUGGUUAGUAACUUGAUUGUACUGAUUGAUGUUUCAGGAUGUGUGGACCUUUUGAGUACUUUUGAUCAAGGCUUUAAGUGAAGUUCAACUCGUGUCCAGAUUAUUGCAUUAUCCGUGGCCUUACAACUUCCGUGCAAUGAGUUUUUUCUUGGCAAGUCUACAGAGAUUGCAGCACCAGGCUUGCGUCACAUAUGCCAUUAUGCUGGUAUGCAUAUUUGGACUGAGGUUUUGCAACAUGAAGCUUGCCUUGACAUGGUUUUGCGAAGAUUGUGUUGAUGUCGGAUGCAGCUGUACUGUGAUUUGAUACCAUACUUAACUAGGGCUGGAAGGGCGGAUGAUGCUAGUAUUGUCCUGUCACAGUUGGAACAUGUUGGGUUUGGCUUCCAUAGCGCUUGCUGCAAUGUUAUGGUCACUGGAUUCUUGACGAAGCCGGAAAUCUUGCAACUGCGCCGAAUGGCUUUUGGCUUUUUAGAAGAACCAGAACCUCUGCCGAAAAUUAUCACAGUACAUCAUCACUUCAAACUCCAUACUUAAUAGGCCCGCAUUAAAUCAAAGUGAUUAGCUUUUAUUUGUGUGAGCUCCAAACUUUUGUAUUUCAUUUGAGCUCAGUUUCAAACUGUCAUAACUGGAUUAGAAACUUGAAUGCUACAUGUAACUUUCUUUUCAUUGGCUGUUUAAACUUUGUAAUAGUUUGUAGCUGGUCCUGGUUACCGUA